rnacentral:rRNA from 1 species
GACGAACGCUGGCGGCGUGCUUAACACAUGCAAGUCGAACGGAAAGGCCCCUUUGGGGGUACUCGAGUGGCGAACGGGGGAGUAACACGUGAGUAACCUGCCCUUGACUUCGGGAUAACUUCAGGAAACUGGGGCUAAUACCGGAAAGGAAUCCUUGCUGCAUGGGGGGGGAUGGAAAGCUUCGGCGGUUUUGGAUGGACUCGCGGCCUAUCAGCUUGUUGGUGGGGUAGUGGCUUAACAAGGCUGUGACGGGUAGCCGGCCUGAGAGGGCGACCGGCCACCUUGGGACUGAGAUACGGCCCAGACUCCUACGGGAGGCAGCAGUGGGGAAUAUUGCACAAGGGGCGGCAGCCUGAUGCAGCAACGCCGCGGGCGGGAUGACGGCCUUCGGGUUGUAAACCGCUUUCAGCAGGGGCGAAGCUUGUGGUGACGGUACCUGCAGAAGAAGCACCGGCUAACUACGUG